UACGAAGGGGGCUAGCGUUGUUCGGAUUUACUGGGCGUAAAGCGCACGUAGGCGGUUUGUUAAGUCAGGGGUGAAAUCCCGGAGCUCAACUCCGGAACUGCCUUUGAUACUGGCAGCUAGAGUCCGGAAGAGGUAAGUGGAACUCCUAGUGUAGAGGUGGAAUUCGUAGAUAUUAGGAAGAACACCAGUGGCGAAGGCGGCUUACUGGUCCGGUACUGACGCUGAGGUGCGAAAGCGUGGGGAGCAAACAGG
rnacentral:rRNA from 1 species